rnacentral:lncRNA from 1 species
GCGCUCUCUCUCUCUCUCUCUCUCUCUCUCUCUCUCUCUCCCUCGAUAUCUUCCAUUGGUUUUGAUGAUGUAAGAGGAAGACGUUUGUCGGCCGGAAGCGCGUGCUGAGCAUGGUUUCCGGUGACGUCACGGAACGCAGCUUUUUUUUUCUCUUCCGCUUACAUAGCUAACAGGUAUACUUAUAAACGGUUGGCAAAGGUCGUGGCGAAUCCUUUAGCCGUACCAUUGGCCGUUAUUUCCGUCUUGCCGCGCUCCGAUUGGUCGACGAUGCGUGCACGAGACCAAGGCGGCGUAGACACGUAUGGGGUGGCGGUACAGAAGGCAGAUCAAAGUAAGUGCAGCGGCUCUUUAUACGCGUUACGUGACGUCACUGGAGUGUUUUGCAUUAUUUAGGAUGAACGCUUAGCCGGGCAAGUGUCGGUCGGACCACACGGCCGACUGUCGGCGAGGCGCAGGUCGGUCGGGUCCUGCAAUAAUCGUCGUCUGUUAGGCCUAGCUUCGUAUCGAUUCCGGAUAGGGUAGGAUGACGUCAGCGGUGACGUGGAAGGCAGUCCGAACCGGAAGUCGACGACUGCGACCCCCUCCACACGCGGGUUGCUGUAUAAGAGACCACGUCCGAAUUUCGCCAACAUGGACAACUACUUCCCGAAAUGCCGAUGUCGACUUAUUCUCGUUACCUAGUUGUAUCUCCAUGAAGGACGUUAUAGAGCCGAAUUUUACGUAUUAUUUCGUUAUAUCGAAGAAUAGAUGUUAACUUUUCUGUUACCAUAAACACUCAAAAGUUUUAAGUCAGUAAAAAAAAAAAAAUGCAAAGCGAACAAAUGCGACGCGCUACGCGUAACUCUUAUAUAGAUUAUUCAGUUUUCGUUGCGAUAAGUGAGAUAGUUACAAAUUGCGGAUUUUUUUUCCUACGUUUUACACGCGAUUAUGUUUCGAAAUGCAUUUCGCACAAAGGGAAAAUAAAAAAAAAAAUAAAUGAGCUUUUAAAUCAAUAGCUUCACUUCCCUCGUUGACUAUAAUAGCGUUAUUUGAGACAAAGAGGUCUUAAUUAAGUUCUAAAGACUUAUUUAGGAAGGACGAUUAGUUUUAUUGAUAGUUUUGUCAAUUUCAAUCGUUCUACUUAGUCGCGAGUUGUUUUUGGUACCGUAUUUUCUUAUCAAUCCAGAACCGAAAUAUACGGUUGAUGUUUUCCCUUUUUGUCUCUCUCAUUUUUUUAAUCUGGAACUAGCGAAAUCCGAACGGUCUAGCUGUCAUCAUCUCGCAGGUUGACAUUUUUCUUUUUCCUCCACUCUCUCUCUCUCUCUCUUCUUUCUUUCUCUUCCACCAUUCUGCAGUUCUUUCUUGCAACCCCUUCUCGGAAAGCGUUAAAAUAAGAUUUUUCGAGUUUAGUUAAACAGUAGCGUGUUAAAGCGAACAGAAGCGAAACAGGAAACGAGAAGCGUAUAAAAAUUUAUAGAGAGAACCCCCAACUGUUAAUGGGAAAAUUGUAACAGGCAGUUUAAUCUUACCAAAACUUCCUUUCGACAUUUAAAAUGAUUAGGAAUUAAAGAAAGGGGUGCUAAUUAAAGUUAAUUGUUAUCGUCCUGUGUGUGCGUAUAUUCUGAAUCAUUUGUUUUCGGAUUCGAAACAAUAAAUCUGGCAUUUCCAUAUCGGAUAUUUAAUUAGUUAUAUUGUCCGUUGUGCAAACUGUACCUCGUCACUAACAAUUAAAACUUGUCACGUAACCGAUUUUAAGUGUCCAUUUUUUCGAUUUUUAUCCGUUUUUCGUAACAAAAACAGUUGGUGGAAAAUAUUACAAGAGGAAGGAACCGGAACAGUGCACGAACGUGGUAAAGGGAGAACAGAAGGUUUCAGGAAAAGAGAAGAGAGGCGAUAUUUAUUAUAGGAUUGACUUUUGUGGUAUAGACACACAGGUUACUCGCUCUACUUGUUUCUCCUUUUUUUUUUUUUUUUUUUGUUGUGUGUAUGUGUGUGUUUUUAGCGAGGUAAGGCUCCAUUAAAACAAGAGCAAAAAAAAAAAGAAUUGCAAACGUUAAAUAGUUAAAAUAUUUAACGUUUAAUAUGUUCGGAAUUGUUGUCUGGAAGAAAUUAGCGAUAGAAUAAGAAGAAGAAGCAGCGAAUGCAAAACCGAAAUUGUGAACACGUGACGAUGAAAGUGCAUCGAUCUCUUUCCUUGGUUGUACAUCGAGUUCAGUCGUGAUUGCCUAGCAUCACGUGUAAAUUCCGUCCAAGUUGCAUUCGUCGUUGAUUACUGCUAAUCGUAGCUAUAGAUAAGUUUGCUAGACGUGUCUUAAUCAACAAAUGACGAAUUACGACCGUUACACCCUUCCCCGAAACUUUCUGAAUUAUUUAAACAUUCGGUAAAAAUGUAUCCCGAAGUCGCCGUUAAUGAAGUUAAAACGUACAACCGUGAUUUUCUUGGAACAUAAAGAUGUUUACCGGCGUUAUUUAUGGAAACAUAAAUAUCCACGCGGUUUUAAAUUAAAUAAAAAUAAAAAAAUACCCGCUUUAAACGUGCACUUAUCUCACUUAUAACGGACGAUAGAAUAUUUUAUUGUGCACAGCCGGAUUGUUUAGAUAAUUCGCCAUUAGUUAACUGCAGUUUUCUCGAGUGUAAAUAUUAAAAAAAUAAAAAAUAUUACUAAAACCGGUAAUUCAAUUUUUGUGCUUUACUAGUUUAAUACGAU